rnacentral:piRNA from 1 species
UAGUACUCAUCAGGUGACACAAGUGGAUUC